rnacentral:rRNA from 1 species
CAGUAGCCGCGGGAAUACGAAGGGUGCAAGCGUUACUCGGAAUUACUGGGCGUAAAGCGUGCGUAGGUGGUGGUUUAAGUCCGUUGUGAAAGCCCUGGGCUCAACCUGGGAAUUGCAGUGGAUACUGGGUCACUAGAGUGUGGUAGAGGAUAGUGGAAUUUCCGGUGUAGCAGUGAAAUGCGUAGAGAUCGGAAGGAACAUCUGUGGCGAAGGCGACUAUCUGGGCCAACACUGACACUGAGGCACGAAAGCGUGGGGAGCAAACAGGAUUAGAGACCCGCGUAGUCCCUGUCUCUUAUAC